UACGUAGGGUGCAAGCGUUAAUCGGAAUUACUGGGCGUAAAGCGUGCGCAGGCGGUGAUGUAAGACAGGUGUGAAAUCCCCGGGCUUAACCUGGGAACUGCAUUUGUGACUGCAUCGCUGGAGUGCGGCAGAGGGGGAUGGAAUUCCGCGUGUAGCAGUGAAGUGCGUAGAUAUGCGGAGGAACACCGAUGGCGAAGGCAAUCCCCUGGGCCUGCACUGACGCUCAUGCACGAAAGCGUGGGGAGCAAACAGG
rnacentral:rRNA from 1 species